rnacentral:lncRNA from 1 species
GUGGUUUUCUCUUAAUCCCUUGUCUCCUUCUCCUCAUGAAACGUCUAAAUUUUUUUGUGAUUAGGGUUAAGUCCUCAUCUCCUUCGCUGUUCUCUGAUUUUUCUGUAUCUUCUUCUUUUUGAACUAUCGAUCUGAGAGCGAUAGUCUUCUUUUUUCUGAUCUCUUCCUCAGAAUAUUACUUCAUGGUCAGCUCGUGGGUCAUAAGGGAUCCAAGUAGCUCCUCCAGAGGUAGAGUGUUUAAAUCCUUGACUUCUUGAAUUGCAUUGACCUUUGCCUCCCAUGAUCUUGGUAAAGACUUGAGCACUUUUCUCACAAGAUCACUGUUAGAAUAAUAUUUGCCAAGACUUUUCAAAUUAUUUAUGAUGCCAGUGCAAUGGAUGAAUAUUUGAGUUAUUGACUCUUCAGAUUUCAUUUUAAAUAGUUCAUAGUUGUGUACAAACAUAUUGAUUUUAGACUCUUUUACUUGGUUUGUGCC